UAUAUAUAUAUGCACUUCACACCGUUCGCACGAGCCCGUACCAAUACUCAAAAGGUGAAACCCACAAGAGAUCGAGCUGUUGCCGUGGGUGCCUGCGCCGGCGCCGCCCCGUCCAUCUGCUCGGCGAGCAAGCUCCUCCUCCUCCUCCUUGUCUUGGCCGCCGGUGCGGCGCGCGGCGCUGCCGCGGCGAGAACGGGGCCGGCAGCGGCGGGCGCGAGGCUGCUGUCGGGGCCAGGGGCCUCUUGCUGCACGCACGACCGGAACUCGGAGGGGACCUCCUGCUGCCCACACCGGCCACCUCCGUAGGCUGUAGCACUUCACCCGAAAUGUGUAGAGUGAAUUAUUUGGUCGUUGAUCGUUCGUUCAGAUAGAACAAUACCCUGUAUAUAUAUUCAUUCCUCCACGGCUCCACCUUUCGUGUCUAGUCGUUGUUUAUUUCUGAACUGCAGUAGCAGCGUCUCUGGUUCAACAGGAGAAUUUUGUAUGUGUAGACGCCUGUGUACUAUAGGUGUUGGAAGAGUCUGUUUUCAUG
rnacentral:lncRNA from 1 species